UUUCGGCCGAAGUCGUUACUCCAACCCUCGGGAGGAGGACGCCGAAGGCAGGGCUGAUGACUGGGGUGAAGUCGUAACAAGGUAGCCGUACCGGAAGGUGUGGCUGGAUCACCUCCUUUUUAGGGAGACCUGAACCCAACUUGAUUGAACCAAUUUGGAGUAAAUCAAGCUUGAGGUCAUCCCAAGGUCGGUCGGAAUCGGUGCGUUUGGCUUUCAAACUAUUUGGUUCGAGGAAUGGGCUAUUAGCUCAGGUGGUUAGAGCGCACCCCUGAUAAGGGUGAGGUCCCUGGUUCGAGUCCAGGAUGGCCCACCUUAAUCGGAGUUCUGAGUUAAUAGUUUUGAGUUUUGAGUUGGUUUUUAAUUCAAAAUUCAAAACUCGAGAUUCAAUACUCUAGAUUUGGGGGUUUAGCUCAGUUGGUAGAGCGCCUGCUUUGCAAGCAGGAUGUCAGCAGUUCGAGUCUGCUAACCUCCACUGGGUAGGAGACCCAAGCGCGAUUAACCGAGUGAAUGAAGUUUGCAUGAUGUGAAUGGAUUUGCUAGUAUGGUUAAUUGUGCGUGAGAUAGCGAUUUCAGCAACUAAUCUUGAGGCAUCGUUAGAUGGGGACAAGAUAGCCUGCUGGGAUUAGUCCAGCGAGAACCUUGAAAACUGCAUAGUGAACAAUGUCAGGUAGAAACCUUAGUGGCACAUUGUUGGUGAUGAUUAAGCGAAUGUUUAAUCGAGCGAAUGAGGUGGCACUAAGCGGAAACAGACACCAAUGUAGAUUGAAAGAAUCAAGUGGUCAAGCUACAAAGGGCUGAUG
rnacentral:misc_RNA from 1 species